CCUACGGGAGGCAGCAGUGGGGAAUCUUGCACAAUGGAGGAAACUCUGAUGCAGCGAUGCCGCGUGAGUGAAGAAGGCCUUUGGGUUGUAAAGCUCUUUUGUAGGGGAAGAUAAUGACUGUACCCUAAGAAUAAGGUCCGGCUAACUUCGUGCCAGCAGCCGCGGUAAUACGAAGGGACCUAGCGUAGUUCGGAAUUACUGGGCGUAAAGCGCGCGUAGGCCGUUGAGUUAGUUAAUUGUGAAAUCCCAAAGCUUAACUUUGGAACUGCAAUUAAAACUGCUCGACUAGAGUUUGGUAGAGGAAAGCGGAAUACAUAGUGUAGAGGUGAAAUUCGUAGAUAUUAUGUAGAACACCAGUUGCGAAGGCGGCUUUCUGGAUCAACACUGACGCUGAGGCGCGAAAGUAUGGGUAGCAAAGAGGAUUAGAUACCCUCGUAGUCCAUACCAUAAACGAUGAUUGCUAGAUGUUGGAAAUUUAUUUUCAGUAUCGCAGCUAACGCAUUAAGCAAUCCGCCUGGGGAGUACGACCGCAAGGUUAAAACUCAAAGGAAUUGACGGCUGAGAGNGCGAGACGACACGAGGAGAGG
rnacentral:rRNA from 1 species